UAGGGAAUCUUCCACAAUGGACGAAAGUCUGAUGGAGCAACGCCGCGUGAGUGAAGAAGGGUUUCGGCUCGUAAAACUCUGUUGUUAAAGAAGAACAUAUCUGAGAGUAACUGUUCAGGUAUUGAGGUAUUAACCAGAAGCCACGGCUAACUACGUGCUAG
rnacentral:rRNA from 1 species